rnacentral:rRNA from 1 species
GCCAGACUCCUACGGGAGGCAGCAGUGGGGAAUAUUGCACAAUGGGGGAAACCCUGAUGCAGCGACGCCGCGUGAGUGAAGAAGUAUUUCGGUACGUAAAGCUCUAUCAGCAGGGAAGAAAAUGACGGUACCUGAUUAAGAAGCCCCGGCUAACUACGUGCCAGCAGCCGCGGUAAUACGUAGGGGGCAAGCGUUAUCCGGAUUUACUGGGUGUAAAGGGGGCGCAGACGGCAGCGCAAGCCAGGAGUGAAAGCCCGGGGCCCAACCCCGGGACUGCUCUUGGAACUGCGCGGCUGGAGUGCAGGAGGGGCAGGCGGAAUUCCUGGUGUAGCGGUGAAAUGCGUAGAUAUCAGGAGGAACACCGGCGGCGAAGGCGGCCUGCUGGACUGCAACUGACGUUGAGGCCCGAAAGCGUGGGGAGCAAACAGGAUUAGAUACCCCUGUAA